UUAUAUGGGUGUCUGAAAUUCAGACACUCUUAUAUUCUAUUGCGAGUUAUAUGGGUGUCUGAAUUUCAGACACUCUUAUAUUCUAUUGCGAGUUAUAUGGCUGUCUGAAAUUCAGACACCCAUAUAACUCGCGCGCAAUAUAAUAUAGUAAGAGUGUCCGAAAUUCGGACACCCGUAUAG
rnacentral:miRNA from 1 species